CGUGUAGGCGGCCCGGUAAGUCUGCUGUGAAAACCCGGGGCUCAACCCCGGGCGUGCAGUGGAAACUGCCGGGCUAGAGGGCGGCAGAGGCGAGUGGAAUUCCCGGUGUAGCGGUGAAAUGCGCAGAUAUCGGGAGGAACACCAGUAGCGAAGGCGGCUCGCUGGGCCGUCCCUGACGCUGAGACGCGAAAGCUAGGGGAGCGAAACA
rnacentral:rRNA from 1 species